UGGAGGUGUAGCUCAGUUGGUAGAGCAACGGACUUUUAAUCCGUAGGUCGUGGGUUCGAGUCCCACCGCCUUCAU
rnacentral:tRNA from 1 species